rnacentral:rRNA from 1 species
UACGUAGGUGACCAGCGUUGUCCGGAUUUACUGGGCGUAAAGAGCGCGCAGGCGGUCGUUCAAGUCGAGUGUGAAAGCCCCCGGCUCAACUGGGGAGGGUCACUCGAUACUGAUCGACUUGAAGGCAGGAGAGGGAAGCGGAAUUCCCGGUGUAGUGGUGAAAUGCGUAGAUAUCUGGAGGAACACCGGUGGCGAAGGCGGCAUCCUGGACCGGUAUUGACGCUGAGGCGCGAAAGCCAGGGGAACAAACGGG